rnacentral:lncRNA from 1 species
AUUUGGCUAAGGCAUCCUCCCACCUCAGAGGAAAAGUAGAGUCACCUAAUCAGACCACAUUGACCAAGAGGGGGGCAGUGGUCCCCCACGGAAAAGCCAAGGCAUUGCCGUAGAAAGAGGACAGGAUGCAGGACAAGGAAAACAAGGAAUAUUUAUUCCAGUUACUUUCCAAGUGCAUCAUGCUGAUCCACACUUGGCCCCAAGAGCUCCUUUAGAUUGUUUGCUCUGGUGAAGGGACCUACCAUGUCAGUUGUCCUCUGGAGAGGCCUCAAGGAACUGAGGACAGCCUCCCAUCAGCAGCCCAUGAGGAACUGAAUCCUGCCACCAACCAUGUGGAGUCUCGCUCUGUCGCCCAGGCUGGAGUACAGUGGUGCGAUCUCGGCUCACUGCAACCUCUGCCUCCCGGAUUCAAGCGGUUCUUCUGCCUCAGCCUCCCAAGUAGCUGGGAUUAUAGGUGCCCGCCACCACACCUGGCUAAUUUAUUUAUUUAAGUAGAGAUGAGGUUUCACCAUGUUGGCCAGGCUGGUCUCAAACUCCUAACCUCCAGUGAUCCAAGUGAUCCACCCGCCUUGGCCUCCCAAAGUGCUGAGAUUACAGGCCUUGGUCAAUAGAGAUUAGUAAAUACCAUUUGGAAAAUGUCACUUCUCCUUUGGGAUUAACUUAGCCCUGUCCAAGAGAAACAUGAGUAUGUUCUUUGGGUCUAGAGGAGCUUUAUUCUUUAGGUGGCUGGUAGGUGGAGAGAGAGCUCUUCUUUCAUAAGAAAUGUGGUGUCAUCAGGGGAGUCUUGGGCCCAGAAUAGAUAACAGUAAUCCCCAGUAGUGUUCUCAAGAAAUGCUUCCAAGUCAAGGUAGCCCCACGUGGUAUAUAACAUGGCCCUUCCUCAGUGGCUGGAAGGACUUUGCUUCCAACAGGAUCAUAAUCUUCGUGCUACCUCACUAACAUUGGAAACAAAUGGAGCCAAUCUGGAUUUAUUCAUGUGCUCUGUAAACAGUGGAAUUCUGCUAUGGCUCUGAGGAAAUGGGGACAUCAUAAAUUUGUCAUUAGGACAUUAUUCCUUCUUUUUAAUAAAUAACUUUCUUUAGUUUUGCAAGAAUUGGCCAACUCUCUCAGAGGAAGGCUAUGGAACCCUUAGAAUUUAGUGGAGUCCAGGGACCAUCCUUGAAUAAUGAGGGAAAUCAACAUUAAGGCCAACGUAGUGCAUUUGUUAUAAGGGUAGGACCCAUAUGGAGCAACAAAGAAGAUAAAUGUUAUGUUCAAAUCAUAGAAAGCACCAUCUGGGUAGAAAGGUAAGAUGCCUUGAUACUUGAGAAAAUAUUACCACUUUCAAGUUGGGUUUAGAUUGCGUUAUCUGCCUCCUACAAUUAAUAUCUUUGGGGGAGCUCUGUGCCUCCUUUAAAAGGCCGGUAGAUGAAGUAGCUGGCCUCCCUGUGGCUUAUGCAGAUUUAGGUACUGAAGGAUAGCUGGAUCUGGAAGGAUCCACAUCUACCACAAGGUUCAGUCUCUUUUUCCUCCCAGCUGUCCUUUAAAAGUUGGGUGAAUUUUUUUUUUUGAGACAGGAUCUCACUCUGUUGCCCAGGCUGGAGUGCAGUGGUACAAUCGUAGCUCACUGUAGCCUCCAAUUCCUGGGCUCAAGUAAUCCUCCCACUUUAGCCUCCGAAGUAGCUGGAUCUACGGGUGCACACCACCAUGCCCAGCUAAUUAAAAAAAAUUUUUUUCUAGAG